rnacentral:rRNA from 1 species
AUCUGUCCAUGUGUUAUCUGUAAGAAUCAGAAGGGUUACUCUUCCUCAAGAGAUGUUCACAUGCAUCUGCUUCAGCACGGUUUCAUGCCAAGCUAUAAUUGUUGGACCAAGCAUGGAGAAAGAGGGGUUAUAAUGGAAGAAGAUGAAGAAGGGGAUGAUUUCAUCGAUGAAAGCUAUCUUGCUCAUUUCGGUGAUACUUUCAUGGAGGAUGCUGAAGGUGAAGGGGAAGGUGAAGAAGAGGCACGUGAUGAUCCCGUUGAUGAUCUUGGUCGGACCAUUGCUGAUGCACGGAGACGCUGCGAAACUGAAAAGGAGAGGGAGAAUUUGGAUCGCAUGUUAGAGGAUCACAGAAAGGCGCUGUACCCCGGAUGCGAU